rnacentral:rRNA from 1 species
CGAACGCUGGCGGCAGGCUUAACACAUGCAAGUCGAACGGUUGUAGCAAUACAGCAGUGGCAGACGGGUGAGUAACACGUGGGAACCUUCCUAGGGGUACGGAACAACUCAGGGAAACUUGAGCUAAUACCGUAUACGUCCGUGAGGAGAAAGAUUUAUCGCCCUUAGACGGGCCCGCGUCGGAUUAGCUAGUUGGUGGGGUAACGGCCCACCAAGGCGACGAUCCGUAGCUGAUCUUAGAGGAUGAUCAGCCACACUGGGACUGAGACACGGCCCAGACUCCUAUGGGAGGCAGCAGUGGGGAAUCUUGGACAAUGGGCGCAAGCCUGAUCCAGCCAUGCCGCGUGAGUGAUGAAGGCCUUCGGGUUGUAAAGCUCUUUGGCGGGGUACGAUGAUGACGGUACCCGCAGAAUAAGCCCGGCUAACUUCGUGCCAGCAG